rnacentral:lncRNA from 1 species
CGAAGUAAGGUUUUCACAAAUUUUAAUAUGGGUUUUUAAAAAUUUGAUUUCUUAUUAAGGGCUUUGAAUCAGUUGGUUUUCUUGGACGCAGCGGCAGUCACGUUGCAGCAAAAAGUAUUGAAUCGUAUGAAUUGUUUGGAAGCGGUUGCGGUGGUGUUGGAGCAAAAAGUGUUAAAUCCUCUAGAGUGCUUGCAAGCGGUGGCAGUGGUGGCAGUGGUGAUGGGCCAAACGUAGAGUAUUGAAUCCUGUGAAUUGUUUGGAAGCGGUUGCAGUGGAGAUGGAUCAAAUAGUAUUGAAUCCUAUGAAUUGUUUGGAAGGGGUUGCGGUGGUGAUAGAGUAAAAAGUGUUAAAUCCCCUAGAUUUCUUGGAAGCGGUGGCAGUUGAGUUGGAGCAAAAAGUGUUAAAUCCUCUAGAUGUCUUGGAAGCGGGGGCAGUGGUGUUGGAGCAAAAUGUUUGACAGUGGUGAUGGACCAAAAGUAAGUGGAUUUUCUUUAUACAUAUACUAGCUUAUACCCGCGGCUUUCAC